GGCUAUUGUCACCUCUAGCCUUUUGUGACCAUCUUUUAUGCUGCAAUGUGUCAGUGCCCUGGCAGACUUACCUAAGGACCAACACCAAGAGCAACCUGUUUGUAUGUGGAUUCUGCAAAUACAUUUGCAUCUAGGUCUGCUAGUGGGUCGCCAUUUAGGGGCAAUGGGCCUGCUUCUCAGGGAUCCCAAACUGGACACCCUACUGUGAUGAAGGGGCCCUAAUUGUCCAGUCACUGCCAAGUAUUUAAUGUUGCCUGGAGAAGAGCCAAUAUGGAGGCAGUCCAAGAGCUUAUUGAGCCACUGAAACUAACAAGCACUGAUGUCCUGUAGCAUAUAUGCAGAAACUGGAAGCUGUAUGGUCUGGACUGGAUUCAGCAGGAGCUCUAUAAAAUAAAAAUGGAAAAACAAGAAGACUCUGCAUUUCUGUUGUUAUACCACUGGGGAUGAUAAAACCAGGACGACAGGAACUAGGGAAAUCUGACUCUGCUGCUUGCGCUGGAGUGGCAUAAAGGAAUCACACUACAGUGGAGGUGACGAUAUGGUCCUUGACUAGAGAGAUUGGCUGGAGCUCGUGCCUGGCCUCCUUAAGACGGAACCGAAUUACUGUAGCAGUCUCAGGCUUCAUAGGAGAACCACAGUGAACACACACAUAAUGUACAGAAAUCACAGGCAAGUGCGCUCUGAACUAAAUGUGUGGAAAGGCUGUGUGGGUGGAGUCUGUAGCCUUGCUCUGCGCUGCCAGUCUGUAGGCGUAGACCCCAUUCAGUCCCAGUAAAAGGACUCUUUGUAGUCUGCAUCUCAGGUCUCUUAUCGAAUGAACUGCUGAUCUGGCAAGUGGGCGAGCUCUCUGAUGAUGCUCCUGGAAAAGAUGGUUCUGCCAGAUGUGAGUUGCUCAGCCGAGGACUUGAAAGUGGCAGCAACACGAAUCCUUACAUUGGUCUGUCCUCACAUCCACUUUGAACUUGAACUAUCUUCAGCUGGAUGCUGGGAUAAAGCACCCAGUUAAACUCACUAGAGGGGGAUUUGUGCAUGGCAUUUUUUGAUGUUAGCCUGUGAGUUGUUGCUACACAAUUAAAUGUCCAGCGUUAACUCCAUUCUAACAGUGUUAAUUCAACUCAAAACAUUUGGUCCCACUCUGGAAUGUGCAACCAAAUGGUAUCUGUUGAGAGCUGAAAUAACACUGUUGGAGUUGAAUUAACACUGGACAUUAUACUGAAAAAGGCCUGGAGAUCUGUAAAGCACAUGGCCGUAGUAACUGCGGAUUAACUAUGGGUAACAAAGAUUUAUUUUGCAUUCAGUGUGUUGGUUAGUUCACUGUGUUAGUUGGUAAUAAAGGUAGACUGCUGCCUGAAAUUGCACAUAGAGUAAGGUACAGUUGUGCAGGUCGAGCUCAGCUUGGCUGUGUCAGAGCAUGAGAAUGAAAGUUUAUUGAGAAGAGUGGCUCUUAAACAGAAGAGGAGCAACCAAGACAAAUUCAAUUAAGCAUCAGAUAGAAUUUCAAAGCAUUAGAAUGACAGAGAGCUGCUAAGGCUUCGGAUCAGAGUCAUAAUAGCUGUUGUCACUGGGUCAUGCCUGUUCCCUUCACACACUUAAGCAGAGGGCAUUCAUUAUGCCUCGUAUUAUAAUAAUGGGAGAUCAGAUAUCCAGUGGCUGUUAAAAACUCCUCACAGCUGUGAGCACUGUCCUCAGUCAUGCUGAUUACUCUGACAACCCUCUGCACUUCAGAAUCAAGGACAGUCCAGGGAGGGAUAGUCAUCGGCAGAGGGAAUCCUAUCGGACCCGACGUAAACAUCCGUGAGUAGAGGUUUA